GAUGAACGCUGGCGGCGUGCUUAACACAUGCAAGUCGAACGAAGCACUUUACUUGAUCUCCUUCGGGAUUGAUUGUUCUGUGACUGAGUGGCGGACGGGUGAGUAACGCGUGGAUAACCUGCCUCACACAGGGGGAUAACAGUUGGAAACGGCUGCUAAUACCGCAUAAGCGCACAGCACCGCAUGGUGCAGUGUGAAAAACUCCGGUGGUGUGAGAUGGAUCCGCGUCUGAUUAGCUGGUUGGCGGGGUAACGGCCCACCAAGGCGACGAUCAGUAGCCGGCCUGAGAGGGCGACCGGCCACAUUGGGACUGAGACACGGCCCAGACUCCUACGGGAGGCAGCAGUGGGGAAUAUUGCACAAUGGGGGAAACCCUGAUGCAGCGACGCCGCGUGAGCGAUGAAGUAUUUCGGUAUGUAAAGCUCUAUCAGCAGGGAAGAUAAUGACGG
rnacentral:rRNA from 1 species